rnacentral:rRNA from 1 species
GAUGAACGCUGGCGGCGUGCCUAAUACAUGCAAGUCGAGCGAACAGACGAGGCGCUUGCUCCUUUGACGUUAGCGGCGGACGGGUGAGUAACACGAGUAUACCCUACCUAUAAGACUGGGAUAACUUCGGGACACCGGAUCUAAUACCGGAUAACAUGUUGAACCGCAUGGUUCAACGGUGAAAGACGGUCUUGCUGUCACUUAUAGAUGGUUCCGGGCUGCAUGAGCUAGUUGGUACGUUAACGGCCUACCAAGGCAAGGAUGCGUAGCCGACCUGAGAGGGUGAUCGGCCACACUGGAACUGAGACACGGUCCUGACUCCUACGGGAGGCAGCAGUAGGGAAUGUUCGGCAAUGGGCGAAAGCCUGACGGAGCAAGGCCGCGUGUGUGAAGAAGGUCUUCGGAUCGUAAAGCUCUGUUAUUAGGGAAGAACAGAUGUGUAAGUAACUAUGCACGUCUUGACGGUACCUAAUCAGAAAGCCACGGCUAACUACGUG